GGAUAAUUGUCGUACUAUAAACAUAAUCUACAUUUUGAUUGACCUAGUCAUCAAUCGAGGACAUAUAUAUAUAUAAAUACAAUUUGAUAUUGAUAAAAGAUUUUUAAAUGUUGAUUGACAGUAGUAAAUUAGUUCACCGAUUUGAAGUUUAUUUUAACAAUUAGGUGGUGUCAAUUAUAAUUUAAUCUUCACAAUCUGUGCUUAUGUGCAAGGUUUUGAAACCUUAUGUAAACAAUUUAAAUGCCUUUAAAGUAAAUAGUCACUCUAAAAUUAUAGCUAAAAGUCAUGGUGAAAUAUGUAUCUGCUUUUGAAAUGUUCAGUGUCUGUAUACAUAAGUUACAAAUAUUACAAAACAUGUAUUACAAAUGAUCAGAAGUUAUAACUGGUGUAAAAAGAUUAUUUAAGAGGUUAAUAAUAAUUUUGUAAAUAUUCUAACAUUAAUUGUUUUCUUUCUUUAUGAAGGCUACAAUUACAAAAACCUAAUACAGAUUCGUUCAGUGCCGUGAAAAAUUAAAUAGUUCGUAUGCAGAAACUGUUUAAAUGCAUAUUGAUCUUAGGUGCUCCGUAAGGGUAAGUAGAUACUGCUCCAUUAGUGGUGCGUGUCGUGUUGCUCUCGCAAGUGUAAACGAGAUGAUAAGUACACACCGCAAAGGUCUAAGCUUCGGUAGGUAAAGUUUGUAGGAAAGAAGACGAGAUUGUUUACACAUCCAUGUCAAUAUAAAGGAAUUUGAUGCGACUGUCAUACAAGUGAGAGAGUUAGCUACCUAUAAACAUGAUAAAACCAGGUUCAAUUCCCCAUUUUCUACACAAUAAAAUGCCUGUACCAAGGCAGGAAUAUGACAGAUAUUCAUUAUUUUUGUGAUUUUAAUUUUUGCAAUAAGUAUGUGAUUCAGGAAUCAAUGCAUGCGUUCAACUUCAAAAUUAAGGUAUAGCUUUACACAAAUGCGUUUAAUGUUUGUAGUGAAAAAGCUAAGAAACACACCUCAAGAAUCAUUUGCCCUGUUUUACUUUAAACUCUUUUUGUCCUUUGGUAUGUACAACAAUACAAACCUUAUAAACAACCUCUUGUUUCAGACAGCAUAAUCUGGUCUUUCUAUAAUUAUCUUAAUGACAGACCUUUGUUUCUCUCUUCCUUUUUUUUUUGGUUCACUUAAAUUUAAAAAUUAGUUCUAAGGGUGCCUUCUUUUAUUUUCUGGAAAAGCAUGAAUAUGGAUAAACGCGCGUAUCUGUCAUAAAUUUAGGCUGCAUGUGUUUGGCCUCCUAUGUUAUUCGACAUUUGUUAUCGUUCAAGAAUAAGUGAUCUGAUGUAUUCACUAAGUGUUAACCCUUUGAAAGACAUAUAUGUUAAUAUGUGAUAUGGACGAGUGUCACUAAUUGAAACCUCUAGUUAUCCGUCUGUCUUUUUCGUGAUUUUUUUCUUUUUUUACCUAAACAUGCUAAAUGUGUAGUAAUCUGCAAAAAAGGUUAUUUAGAAAUUCAUUGAUUCUUUCUUGUUUCAUAGGAAAAAACGUUUACACAAUAUCUGUAUCAUAACGUAGUACACAAUUAUAUAUAUAUAUUUAUCAUAUACUUAGCAUUAAUAUGAUAGCUUUUGCAUAUGUGUAACGAACGGAAGUACACAAGCCAUAAUUUCCCACCCAGGCUGAUAACCCAUAUCAGCCCGGUCUGAUAACCCAUAUCAGGGGCGUCUCGUGCAAAAACCCAUAACAGUGCUUCUCGUGCAAGUUACUUCCGGUGUUUCCGGUAUCGGUUGUUUAUUUUUUCCAUUGUGACGUCAGAUAUUGAUGACGACGUCAAAAUUUACGGGAACAGUUUUGUGGGGAUAGUUUAGUACUUACUAACAAAUACCAUUGGCAAUUAUGAAUCAUUUUAUAGUACAACAAACAUGGAGUAAUAAUGAUCAUGAAACUCUUCCAACUACUCAAUGUUUCAAAAUGCCUCUAUAGGAAAUGUUACCAUAAAAUGUACAUAUAUGUAUAUGGAGGUAGUGAUGCUGUUGGUUGCAUUGACAGUUGUAGUAUAUUGGAU
rnacentral:lncRNA from 1 species